GCUCCUGAGCAUGCUGAUGGGGAGGCACCUCUCCCCCCUGCCGUCCCUCACAUUCUUUACACCCUUCUCUGAAGUUCUCUGAGCCUUGGAAGGCAGAGGCGAAGGUAGAUGACUGGGCCGCAGCUGAGUGCUCACGUGUUUGCUCUCAGCGAGUGACGACGAGUCUCUGCCACAGUCACCGCACACCCGCACCACACACCCACACCAUACACCCCACACCCACACCCCACACUGCACACCCUACUCCUACACCCCACACCCUACACCCACACCCCACACACUCCUAAGCUGUACGGCAAGGGCUACAAAAGUCCUUGUUUCAAAACAGAAAUUCCUCGGAGUUGUCUUCUGGCCCAGCCCGUCCUGACUGCAACGCUAGCGCUGAGACCAUCCUGCCCUCGUGGCGCACGCCUGCUGACUGCAUGCUGACUAGAUCCAGCUGGACGGCAAGGCUGUUCACAGUCCCCACGCUUUCAUUGGUGCACACAGUGAGACCACUGCAAACCCACACACGUGCAUAUGUGCUUCAUCUGUAUCACCUGUCAUCAGAGGCCGUCCUGUCUGCUGUGCCGAGUCCAGGAUGUUUUGCUGCAAAUGUUAGCAGUUUCCAUGCCUGGAGAUCUCCUUUGGUUCUCACUGUAUGCACCUUUUCAGUCCUGGUGCUCACGCUUUCCUUUAAAAUUCUGAGUGUCGUCUGUGCUUUCUACAAGCAUCCAUCUUUUUGUUGGUGCUUCGGUUUCUAUUUCUUGGUUUAUUUCCGAUUUUCCGGCUUUUUAGAGUGUACUGGUAACUAGAUAAAUCCAUUACUGGACACUGUAAAUGCCAUGCUGCUGAGUCCAUCGUGUCUCUGGCCUCACCUUCACUCUGCUACGCUACUGUUUCAUGGUCAAGGUUGCUCGCAGAGAGCAGCCCAUCCUUUUAGGCUUGGCCAGCACACAUCUGGGAUAGUUUUACUCUAAGGAUGAUUCAUUCCCAUGACUGUACUGCAACCACAGUGGACUCGGCUCUGCCACUCGUGGCCAUCACCACUGCUCACACCUUCAUUGGAUUCUGAACGUUUUGCACAGCUGUGUGGAUUGGGGAGGUUUUGCAGCCUGUGGCUCCUUGCCAGUGCCAUGAUGUGACAUGAGCGAGUGGUUACCCCAACUCCAAGGGACCAUUUUGCUGACUUCUGGAGCUGUUUGUUUUCAUGUAGCUUCUCACCCUCUGGAAUCUCUCCUGAAACUUCCAUCGGCUACAGCAUUCUUGACUUCAAAGAUCAGUUUGCUCAGCUCAGCGAAGACAUGGAACUUGAGAGGGGUUUCCCUGCCUGGUCCCUGGUCCUGGAACGGUCCACGGACAUCAGGAACUUUGCGUCUUGGCUUUCCUGUGUCCUCCUUGGAGAUGACAUCUUCGAGCUAUGUGACAUGCAAGGUUUGGCAGCUGCACUGUUCCCUAGCUGCUCCUGGUGUGGGGUUAGCUUAGGGCACCUCUCCCUCCUUCCACAGAAAUAAGCAAAAGCCCAGGUGAGAGCGUUCAAUAACGCCAGCUCAGCGUGCCUUGGAAACUCGUGGCUAGCUGAAAUGCAGGGAAAAGCAGCUUCAGAAAACAUGAUUAAUUACUCCAGAAAGCCCUUGAUGAGCACUUACACCCAUAUGGCCCACCUUACGGCAGUGGCGGGCACUCAUCCUGACCAUAAGUUCAGCUUUCCUUCCUGUUUGAAGGUCUUCUAAAACAACAUCUUGAUACACGUCUGUCUACUGCCAGUCGGGGCUGCUGCACCUGCAAAUGGUCCAGCCAGAGCAUGCCUCUGCUCCUCUAAUGUGUGUACUGUGGAAACGUGUGCCAUGCGGUCCCUCACUAAAUCAAAACAGGAGGACCCCAGCCAGGGAGGUGCAGACUUGGGAUCAAAGAGAUCUGUCCUGCUAUAGAGUAUAAGUGUGUCCUCACCCCUCGUCAACUGCAGAAAACCGCCUCCAAUCAAAAUGCGCAUUUGUGGAGCCCAGUCCCAGUGGACACAUCUACAACUCACCCCCGUGACUAAGGCUCGGGAACACUGCCGAAGAAGGGGCAGAAAUACUGUGAGAGCCAGGGAUCGCAGUAUUUGCUGAGGGAUGGUGUCUGAAGCAGCACCCGGACAGCCCAAACAGGAGCUGAAAAGGGACAACAAGGACAACAUCAGGGGAAUGCCAGAGUGCCCAGGGGAAGGCUCCAAGUCCCAUCCCACACAAGCAAAUGAGGAAAGCUGGAGGCAGGAGAGAUAGUCCUCCCCAGGAAAGAGCAUAUGAAUUGGUUAUCCAGUGACCAUCAGCCAGCCCUGAAAAUGCACAUGUAAGUAACGUAUGUACUGAGCAGACUCUAUUUAGGAAUAUAUAUGCAUGCACAUAUCUGUACAUGCAUGCAAUUAACAAAUAGUUUAGAGAGAGGCCACAAA